GCGUAAGCAAUCUGCCCCUAAGACGAGGAUAACAGUUGGAAACGACUGCUAAGACUGGAUAGGAGAUAAGAAGGCAUCUUUUUAUUUUUAAAAGACCUAGCAAUAGGUAUGCUUAGGGAAGAGCUUGCGUCACAUUAGUUAGUUGGUGGGGUAAUGGCCUACCAAGACGAUGAUGUGUAGCCGGGCUGAGAGGUCGAACGGCCACAUUGGGACUGAGACACGGCCCAAACUCCUACGGGAGGCAGCAGUAAGGAAUUUUCGGCAAUGGAGGAAACUCUGACCGAGCAAUGCCGCGUGAACGAUGAAGUAUUUCGGUACGUAAAAUUCUUUUAUUAGGGAAGAAAAGAUGGUGGAAAAACCAUUAUGACGGUACCUAAUGAAUAAGCCCCGGCUAACUAUGUGCCAGCAGCCGCGGUAAUACAUAGGGGGCAAGCGUUAUCCGGAAUUAUUGGGCGUAAAGGGUGCGUAGGCGGUUAAAUAAGUUUAUGGUCUAAGUGCAACGCUCAACGUUGUGAUGCUAUAAAAACUGUUUAGCUAGAGUUGGAUAGAGGCAAGUGGAAUUCCGUGUGUAGUGGUAAAAUGCGUAAAUAUACGGAGGAACACCAGAAGCGAAGGCGGCUUGCUGGGUCUUAACUGACGCUGAGGCACGAAAGCGUGGGGAGCAAACAGGAUUAGAUACCCUGGUAGUCCACGCCCUAAACGAUGAGUACUAAACGUUGGAUAAAACCAGUGUUGAAGUUAACACAUUAAGUACUCCGCCUGAGUAGUACGUACGCAAGUAUGAAACUUAAAGGAAUUGACGGGACUCCGCACAAGCGGUGGAUCAUGUUGUUUAAUUCGAAGGUACCCGAAAAACCUCACCAGGUCUUGACAUGCUUUUGCAAAGCUGUAGAAAUACAGUGGAGGUUAUCAGAAGCACAGGUCGCGAAAGUACCACCUCAGCUCGUGUCGUGAGAUGUUGGGUUAAGUCCCGCAACGAGCGCAACCCUUGUUGUUAAUUGCCAUCAUUAAGUUGGGGACUUUAGCAAGACUGCCAAUGAUAAAUUGGAGGAAGGUGGGGACGACGUCAAAUCAUCAUGCCCCUUAUGACCUGGGCUACAAACGUGAUACAAUGGCUGUUACAAAGGGUAGCUAAAGCGUAAGCUUCUGGCGUAUCUCAAAAAAGCAGUCUCAGUUCGGAUUGAAGUCUGCAACUCGACUUCAUGAAGUUGGAAUCGCUAGUAAUCGCGAAUCAGCAUG
rnacentral:rRNA from 1 species